CGCUGACCUGUGGAAAGAGAUGCCGCGGUUGCGCGUCUCGCGCGUGUCCCGUGUGCAGCACCCGGCGGCGGAGCAGUGACGCGGCAUCUGGGGAAGAGGCGGGAGCUCGGUCGCGGGCGGCUGUCCGGGCCCAAAGGGCCCUCGCGCCCCCCGCCAACACCCCGCUCCAGGCGGCCCCGGCCUAGCGGAUCUCCUCCGGCCCAGUCUCGCCCGAGCCCCGUCCCAGCACGUUCUCCCGACUCUAUAAGCGACACUCACGGCCUCGCCAUUGCUGCACGGCCGAAAUCUCGCGAGGUGUGACUCGCGCCGGAAGUCGGGACCAUAGAGACACGGAAGCGAGCUGAGCUCGCCGAAGGGGCGGGGCGCGCCCCGGAAGGAACGAGUCAGCGCUGCGCGGCGGCUGGACGCUCUCUGGCCGCCCGGAACGUAAGCGCCUGCGUCGGAAACGCGCCUGGCUCUGUGAGGCGGAGGCCCAGCGAAGCCCGCAAGCGUAACUUCAGCAAGGACAGCGUGCACGCGGUGCCAACCCGGUCCAGACCAAUUCGCGACUCCGAGGAGCACCGAGAACGUCAGACCUGACAGCUGCUCCGGUUCCCGGCCGAGCCAUGCUCCGGGAGCGAGGCCGCAGCUCAACACGGACAAGCUUCGUUUUCUCUGCCGGCGGAAAAGUUUGUUUUCCCUAGAAACCGGCUCGGAGAAGGCUGGUAUCGGGACGGGAGUAAGGGCGAAGUGCAGUACAGGACCAGACGAUGCCAAACAAAAACUUUAAUAGGAACUACCUGAACCUUUCUCUGGACCCUACACCUGCCCUCUCGGCGCCCCGACCCCCCGCCUCUCCUACCGGUGCCCGGGGGCCCGGCCUCCCCGCGGUCCACGCAUGGGGAGAAAGGGGGGAAAGGACAGCGUCAUUCGGCACCAGCCCGCCUCCCGCCUCAAGCCCGGGGCCCACGUGCGGGACCCUCGCACUCCCUGGCGGAGCGGUGUGAUGGGCCACCGGCUGACGUUCGUUAUACCCGGCUCCUCUCCCCUCUCUGCCGAACCUGCGCGAUCAGACGGGCGCCCACGGCAAGAGGGUUCCCUCGCCCGGACCCCAGCCCCCUGGCCCUCUGGUUCCCCGUCCGCCGGCCGUACCAUGGUGAGCUCAGUCGCCGCCGCAGCUCCAACCUCAACCGCUGCUAACGCCUAACUGCCGCCGCCGCCGCCGGCUCGCCACGCGCUCCGCCCAUCCGCCCACCCGCCCGUCGCCAGCGACCAUUGGUCCCGGAUGCCGUGGGGUGGGCCGAGGCCCAGAACCUCACUCCCGAUUGGCCGACCCGCGACCCGCGGAGAGUGGCGCAUUCUGAUUGGAUGUGGGCUUGGCGGGAAGGCUGCGAGGUCGUGGGUCGCGCAGAGUGGAGUGCAGCCGGGAGCUCCCGCGCAACCCCUGCCCUCAGGUCAGCGCGGCGGCAGGGCACUUACCACCUAGUGCUGCUGGCCCGGGACCCCGCUCCCUAUAGGGUCUUCGCCAGCUCGGCCGCCUGGUUUACACCAACCGCUGCAGGGAGCUGGGUAGGGCGGAGCCCCAGCCCCAUCCCAGGGCUGGGCCGCGCAGCGCCCACUGUGGAGGGCGGACCAUCCCGUGAGGAUGGCUGGGCUGGCUUUCCUUGGGUUCUGGGGGCGCGGGGAGGGGGUGCAGCAGCGGAAAGGGCUCUUCGAGGCUGGGACCCUGGUCUCUGAAGGUGACCGUCCCCUUGGAGGGUUGGCCCCUACCGGGUUCACUCGGCUGACCGAGUCUGCGCUUCCGUGAGCGCUAAUCCUGUGGGGCCGGGGCCCCACCUUCAGGGCCUCUGCGACCCUGAUUACAUCCUGGCUUCCCGUGCGGUCACUGCGGCUGGGCCUCGUCGGAGAAGCACGAUUCAGUCUGCAGCGCCCCCGUCCCUGCCAGGGCUGCGACCACCCCAUGCCACCUGUUCCACCGUGUUCUUAAAUACUGUAUAUCUUUCCGAGUAUAAAAGCGACACAUACUUAGAAUAGGAAGUGUGAAAAAUAUAAAGGAAUGAAAGUAAAAAUCCAUAAACCCACCUCCUAGAGAUGGUCAUUGUUAAUAUGUGUGUGGGGAGGGUGAUCUUUUUUAUUUUUUCCUAGUGUAUACAUUCAUACAUUUUUAAACACAUGUUGAGCCAAACAAUAUGAUUUUUUGAUAACAGUUUUCUUGAGAUAUAAUUCACGUAUACAUCACCCAUUUAAAGUGGUGUACAAUCCAGUGAUUUUUUCCCCUAUAUUCACAGAGUUGUGCAACCACCACAACAGUCCAUUUUAGAACAUUUUUAUCCACCAAAGAAACCCACAGCCUUUAGCUGUCAAUCUCCAGCCCCUCCCAUCUCCCAGCUGGAGGCAGUCUUUCACGGACACUUUGUCUCUGUAUUUGCCAAUUCUGAACAUCUCGUGAACAGAAUCGUACAGUAUGUGGUCCUUUAUGACUGGCUUCAUUCACUGCUCACAGUGUUUCCAAGGUUCAUUCCUGUGGUAGCACGUGUCAGAACUUCACCCCUAUUUCUGUUAAACAACUUUACCAUACAACUGUUUAAAGUAUACAAUUCAGUUACUCUUAGUAUAUUUGCAGAGUUGUGCAAGCAUUACCAUUAUUGAUUUUAAAACAUUUCCAUCACCUAAUUCAUUCCUUUUUAUUGUCAAAUACUAUUCCAUGGUUUGGAUAUACCUCAUUCUAUUUAUCCAUUCAUCCCUUAGUAGGUAUUUGCAUUUUGUAGAUAAUAUGAAUAACGCUGCUAUGGACAUAUGUGUACAAGUUUUUGUGUGGACACUUGAUUUUGUUUCUCUAGGAGUGGACUUGCUGGAUCAUAUGGUCAACUCCAUGUUUAACCUUUUGAGGAACUGCCAGACAAAUACGUAAUUUUUUUAUCCUGGUUUUCUCCUUUCACACCAUAAAUCGUGUGCAUUUUUGCUAAUUGCUGAAUGUCCUUUGAACACUUGAUCUUUAAUGUUGGCAGAGUUUCAAAUCUUAAUCAAUCCUCUGGGGCAUUUGGUUAUUUCCAGUUUUAAUAUUGUAAGCAGCAUUUUCUCGUGCAUCUUUGGACAUCAAUUUAUUUUUGCAUCUCUGCUGUAGAGAAGAAUAAUCAGAACUUUGCAUCAAAGGACAGUCUGUUUUAGGGCUCUCAGUGCAGAAUGACAAAUUGCCUUCCAUAAAUAGUUGUAUCAGUUUGCAUUCUUUUUAGUUGACCUUGGGAGUGACAGUUGCACACCACCUUAUAUUUUAAUUGUGUCCUGAGGUCUCCAGGGCAGGGAAUUGACUGGGCAUCUUUGACCCCGUGCCCGGCUCAACGUGCAGCAUAUAAUACAAGUUUGUUUUACAUGAAUGAGUGAGAGCAUAGGAAGGCCCGGAUUAGCACAGGUGUGGAGUUACUAUGCAGGCUGGCUCAGUAGGAAUUCCCACCUGGUUGACAUGGGUACUUGGUGCAGACUCAAGUGUUAAAAGACAUCUUGAAGUUGAAGUGGCCACUGGGAGAUGAGGAAACCACAUUUCACAGUCAUUUAGCGCUUCGGGAGACAGACAGCAGUUCUUUUUCAUACUCCACUCUGCAGGCCACAGUCUUUAUGCAAAGCCCUGGAAGAAUUACCUUCAAGGAGCUGGCGAGGUCCUUAAAUUCUCUGUUCACCUGGAUAUCCUGAGGAGAGAUCCCAUUACAAGGUGGUACAUUAUUACUUUCUGAGAACUGGACUAUUUCAUCAACACACACAAGGUCUCUUUAGGGUGGCUUCUCUCCUGUGCGUGGCAAAGUCACCACAACCUGAACUAUUAAAACAGAGAAGGAGGGGGAGGGUAUAGCUCAAGUGGUAGAGCACAUGCUUAGCAUGCACAAGGUCCUGGGUUCAAUCCCCAGUACAUCCUCCAAAUAUAAAUAAACCUGAUUACCUCCCUCCUCCACCAAAAUAAAAUAAUUAAUACAAUAAUAAAUAUAAAAUAGUUUUUAAAAAACAGAAGGGGGAGUGUCAAGGGGGGCUGCUGGGGGCCUGUUCUAGUUCUUGAUCUGGGGGCUGGUUACACAGACAUAUGCUGUUUGUGCAGAUCCACCCUAAAUCUGUGUGCGGUUUUCGGCAUAAAUGUUUCACAAUUUAAAAAGUGAAAACAGAGUUUUGGGGAGAAGAGUCUUUUUCCCCGAGCACCAGUCUUUCCCUGCACAAGGAUCUCCGUCGGAUCUGUCACCUCAUCCUAACUUCACAAUGACCCUGGGCGGUAGAUAGUAGCCCCGCUUCAUGCAAAGAUGCGGCUGCGUCCUGGGAAGGGCUUUCCAUGAACUGGAAAGAUUCUGAAGCGCCUCCCUUAAAACCAAGAUAAAAUCUACGCUACUCAGAUUGGACUAACAAUAGCAGUUAAGGAACAGGAAUAUAGAGCAUUGCUGAUAGACCAGUGUUGGGUCUCUAAUUCAGAAUCCAAGAUCCCACAUUGGUGGACUCAGGAUUUGGCCCCAGGCCUCUCUAUUUCCAAACACUAUGGCAAUUCCAUGAUACGAAAAGCUUCCGAUAAUAACCGCACAUGAUGUUGAAUGAGCGUGUAUUUUUGCUAGAAGACUUCUUGUAUCAUUAUGUUUUUUUUUUAAAGUGGUAGAAUCCAGUGCUGACCGGAAUUCUCAGAGCAGAAGGAACAUGGUUGAGGCAAGCUAGUCUCUGGCUUUGGAGUUGUAGAGACUAGGCAGGUAGAAGGCAACACUAAGGAUGUCCGACAUCAGUUGUCCCAAACCUGAAGGACUGGAACUGUGAAAAUAUUUCUGGAAAGGCUUUGACUCAAGCCUCGGCUGAAAUAAAUCAGCCACCCAAGUGAACCUUCCAGCACUGGAUAUCUGCAGGCAGCACUGGCCAGGCGGGGAGGAUGCCGCCUUGCACGGGCCAAACCUGCAAAUCCAAACAUCCGUGAACAGUGAGCAUUGUGCCCUCUCAGCCAGUGAAGAACCCAAGCAGGGGUCCGAGGGGGACCACCGCGGCACCCCGCUUAGGGGUGGGAGUGUGGUUGGAGUGGCAUCAUGGACUACAUUCAGGCCUGAGUUGAACUCGAACAAGGCCACACCAGGUAUCCACGCUGGGCACUCUCUUUCUCUAAUCCCCACUUUCUUCCUCUGAAAUGGAGAAAAGGAUACCUCCCAGGGCUGUGGGAGGAUCAGAGAUGAGGUUUCUGAGAAGCUCUUACAGAGAAAUCCAGCAAUUCUAGGGCAGAGAGGGGAUUAGCCUGGACAGACUUGAGCACACCGAAGCAGCCUUCACUUCGCAUGGGAUUCCUGGACACCUAGGAAGCACACACAGGUGAGAAAGUCCGAGCCCAGAGAGGCAGGAGCAAAUGGGAGAGGGAAGAGGGGGGCUGUUCCUCAUCUCUGAUGCUGUGCUGUAGAGGUGGUCCCGCGCUCGCAGCCCAGAAGGCCCCUCCCUUGGACGGAUGCAGUGCCGUGGGUGAGGUUGCGAGCUGGGGAAGAGAGGAAAGGGGUGGACACUGGCUGAACCCUCACUCUGUGCCGGGAACCAGUGAUCUGGACACACAAGACACACCCUAUCCUUAGAGAGCUCACCAUUGCAGGGAGGAGAGGAAAGGAAGUAUAAAAGUGCAAUAUGAGAAGUGCACCAACUCUCCCUGGGAGGUAAAGGGUGGGCGGGGGCUAAAACACCUGCUCUGUGCUUUACAAGUGACGUGGGUGGAGCUGGGCAUUUCAGCAAGGGGAGCUGCAGGAGCCAAGGAGGGCUGAGAAAUUGCAUGGUGAGGCGGGAGGAUGGCGGGCAGCUGGGGCUGAAAGUGAUGAGCUUCGAGGCGGCAGGGAGCGCAGGGCUGGCGGGGCCCAGAGCCCACGUGCUGGGAAUGACACACUAAGCUUGGAUUCAUCCAGAGGGGAGCCGCCGAUAGGUUUAAAGCAGGGGCACGUUUCUGGUUUAGAAAGAUCACCUGUAGCAGGUGGGAAGACAGGAUCAGAGAAGGGAAAGCAGCGUGUGGACAGAAAGUGAGGAGGAGCGGGCAGCCUGGGUGCUCUACAGGAGGUGAGAUGAAGGAGGGAGAGCGUGGAGGGACAGGGAGGGGCAAACACAGGCCCCAGCUUCUGACUUGAUGGGAAGGAGCCCCCAUCUAGAGGCAGCCCUUGGAGGAGGAAGGUGUGUUCAGUUUCACCGCCCAGAAUCCGAGGGCCUAUUUCCAUCUGGGGGACUCUUCAGCAGGUUGCUGGGGGACCCAGAGCUCAAUAGAGGGGUCUGGGCUCUAGAUAGGUGGGCAGGAGAGGAGUGAGCCUCAGGCUAGGGAAGGGGGUCCUGCAGGGGGCCCCUAUGCUAGUUGAGGGCCAGGCAGGGCCAGAUGCCCCCUGGAGCUGGUGGUACUGUCCGCUGAGCUCAUGCUGCUGGCACAGGGCUCCACUCUCCCUUUUCUGUCUUCUGCUCUCAGGCUGCUCAGCUGCUUCCUCCCUACUGGCAGCCCUGGAGGAAGGGAACCCCUGCUGCACACACAGGGCCCCAGGUGGGUGUGAGCCUGGCCAUCAGCACACCUGGGCCGUCUCUUCUUCCCAGCAGGGCCAGAGGAAGAGCAGGGGGAUGGUGAAGGGAAGCCGAGUGGCCCUGGCCAUCUUCAGCAGAGCAUGGCUCCAGUGGGCUGAGCAGGAGGGAUGGCCCAGAGGGUGGUGAUGCCCUGGGAGGGAAGGAUGGAGGGGAAGGAGUCUGAAGGAGGUCGUGGGCUAGGUCAGAGAUGGGUGAGUGGAUGACAAGGGGGAGAAGUAGUCACAAGAGGAAGCCAGGGACCCACUCCCCAAUCUGGGCUCCAGAACCCAUUCACCUGUAGCCACUGGGGUGAGGAGCCAUGGUGUGGAAGGGAUCUGUGGAUGGGCACAGGUAGGCCUUGCACUCACCACAAGAAUUCUCAACGUCUGGUUGACCCGCAGGCCCAGGCCCAGGCUCAGGGCUCCUGCUGCAGAGAUGCGGUUGUUGCUGCAACAGACAGGCGUGUGCCUUGAGCCACACUGCGAGCAGCCCCGCAGAUUGCUCCCACGUCCCAUCACCCAGUUCCCUCCCCACCUCCUCCUCCUGCUUCUGCUUGGCCCAGACUCGUCUCCAGGGCCAGCCCCACUUCCCUCUAACUCCUUAGACCCCAGCUCAGCCCUGACUUGCAGCAUCUAUUGUGGCCUCCUCUGGCCGUGGCUCCUUACAUGGGGAGGAAAAGUGGGCAGGACUGAGCAGAUGUUCUCGCCCUGGUGGGCAGGCUCCGCUCACUGAGACAGCCCAGGCGUGGGGCUCAGCCAUGGCAGCUUGUGACCUGCUUGGCCUCUACCGUUUUUCUUCCCUCUGGGCUUAGGGUCCCUGUUCCAGUUUCCCGCAGAGGCCUGGGCCUGGAGGGGCAGCUCACACAUGGAGACCCCAACAGGUCACACAGGGCGGGCCCCCUUGCAGCCGUGUGCUGAGCAGGCAGACCAUUCCCUCUGAAGGGAGGACCACUUGCGUGAAGCAUCCAUCCACACCAGGCUCCACUGAAGAUGCUUUACAAGUUUGUACUUCCCAGCCCCCAGCCCACACGGCAGGAAUUAUGAGUCUCAAUGUACAAACGACGAACUGGAGUGAGAAGGACAGAGCUGGGUAUGCCCAGACCAUGGCCGCAGCCCACCCUGAGCGCUCGGGGCAGGUCGGGGAGCCAUGGCGGGGAGCAGCAGCGAGAUGGGCACGGGGUCCCUGGGUGGCCAUGGGCCCAGAGGCUGGGGCGCGGGCCUCAGUGCUCUCACCUCAUGUUGAGCUCCUCCAGCACAUUGUUGUUCUUGAGAGCUCCCCCCAGCGCAGAGGCUCCAGCAUCUCCGCAGCCAUUGUAUGAGAUGUCCAGGACCCUCAGGAAGAUGUUUGCCUGGGACACAAAGGAGCGAAGCUGUGGGACCACAGGUGAUGGUGGAGGGAGUCAGGGCCACGGCCUCUGAGCCCAGGAUGCUGGACGGGCCUGGGGAACACAGGGCUUGUGGAAAUGCAUGAGGAGCAAAGAGCGUGGGCUGAGAGCAGGAGAGGACAGAGGUUCCAGGGAAGAGCCCUGGGGCUUGGACGAGGGUAAGCGGUGGAGCUGAAAGGCCGGAAGCACAGCACAGAGGGAGGAUGAGGAUGUGAAUGAGCCUUGGACUGGGUUCUCGGCCACGGGCCUCUUAAGGUCACAGACCUCGAGGCUGUUUGAUUAACCUGUCUGGGGGACUGUGAUGGGGAGAAGAGCAGAGCUUGUAGGUGCCCUGGGGAGACAGAGCCUGACCUGCCACCUCAGGGGCAAGACCCCAGGUCAGCCCUGUGGGAGAGCAAGGCAGCAGCUGCCAUUCCCUGAGGAGGGUCCCACAGAGGCAGCUGUCACCGGAAGCAUCUCAGACACCCCUCCCAUCCACUCCUGAGGCCCACGAACCACAAGACCCAGGUGAGCAGGUGGGGGUUCGAGGGUGUGUGCUGGGAUCCCGGGGUGCAGGGCUGUCAUCUCAGGGAAGCAGCUGUGUAUGCCCAGUAGCAAGUGUGCAUCACCAGCCUGCGUGGUGUACCUCCAGUCGAGUGUCUGGGGAGCUGUGUGACAUUAAGUGUGGACCCCUCACUGAGGAUGUGAGGACAGGUACAGGAUACCAGACGUUGUCAUCAUUAAAUGGACCCAGGAAAAUGAAAAUCACCCAAGCUCUGUGGAAAAGAUCCAAGGCUCAUUUCUGAAAAGCUGCAAAGAUGGGGGGCUGGCUCCUGGGAGACCUGCCCCCAAAGGACAGGGGGAGGGGCUGACUGGGCAGGGGCCUCAUACCUCCAGUCCCCUGGCGAAGGCUAAGGCUCCUGGACCUCUCAGGUGAUUCCAGCUUACGUUAAGCUCAGUGAGUCCUGUGUUUUCUGCCAGGGCUGGUCCAAGCAUCUCUCCUUAAGAAACACCAAGAUUCAAAAAAUGACGCCAAUGUUUGCUGUGGGCCAGGGUCUCUGCUGUGCACGAGGGUCAGGGAGUUGAGCCCAACGUGGGCCUGCCCUGCUCACAAGGAAGUCACAUUUAAUGGAGAAGCAAUAAAUACAAAUUAAUGGGAUGUGAGCUAUUGUAGGCUGCAAACAGGGAGACGUGGGAACAGAGUUGGGGCUAACCCUGCCAGUAGAGGGGGUGGUCAGGAAAGUGUAGAGAACCUUGAAGACUGAGGGACUCACCAUGCCCGUGUGCGAGCACCGUGGAGAGUGGGCCCAGGAAAGAGCGGAUGGGGAACACAAGGCUUGAGAAAGUGCACAAGACCUGGUGCUGGCGCGGGUGGGGAAGGCUGGUGAAAAGAGGUAGGGUUGAUGGGCACUCGAGAGAUUCUUUAAGAGACAGAGUGGGUGGAGGGUGUAGCUCAGUGGAAGAGUUCAUGCUUAGCAUGCACAAGGUCCUGGCUUCAAUCCCCAGUACCUCCAUUUAAAACAAAACAAGAGAGAAGAUUCAGAUAGACAGGGCAGAGACAAGAGGCCAGGGGACUAGCUGGAAGGUUUAUGCCACAGUCUAGGCAAGAGGUGAUAAGGCCAGUGCAGAGGAAGUGGUGGUGAACAGGAAAGAGUGGGCUGUGUGGGUUAGAAACCCUGAGAGAUGUUUUACCUUUAAGAUAGGCAGAAGCCCCGCUCUCCACUCUCAACAUUCAGGCCUGCUCCCGGUUCUCAGCCUCCAGCUGCCCCCCACCCCCACCCCGUGUGGGACAAUUGACCCCCUUCACGUGGCUGAGAGCUCCUCACCCCCAUCCAGGAAGCUUUGCUUGCCUGGCUGGGCUGGGUGGGACCUCCUUGGACCCCAUGUCCACCGUUGCUUCCAUCCUUCCAGGUUCUGGACAUGAGACCUCCCUAGCUGGGAGUCUCUCUCGGGGAUCUGAAUCUGACCCCUCUCCGUGGUACCGGCACCGAGCACAGGCCUACCGAGGCUGGUCUGAAGACACGCACAGUGCACGGCAGUGUCAGCACCUUGGAGAGCUCCCCGCGGGGCAGUGAGGACUUGCUGGGACGCGGCUCCAGGCACUGGGUCUAACACCCGCCGGUUCUCAGACACUUUCAGAGCCCAGAGAAGAGGGUGGCAGUCCUCCACUUUGAAGGGAAGCCUCUCUGCUGAACAGCUCAGGGGUGAGAAGGUUCUACCCAUGAAUCCGGCUCUUGUAGCUUGUUCUUCGUAACUCUUGCGGCCAAACCAUGAGGUAGGUGCUACCCUCACCUUGGGUCAGGUGGGGAGACUGAGACCCAAGCUCUUUCACCUCUAAGGGAGUCGGGCCCACCCACAGAGCACCCCUUGGGGAAACAAAAUGGUCCUGCUGAGUCUGUCCUUUUCCAGGCCAAACCCCAAACCUACUGUGCAGCCUUCCAGCCCCCUGCAUUCUCGCUGCCCCUGGAGCUGGCCCCCUGACCUAGUAAUUAGUUGAAAGUCUGAAGUGAGCUUUCUUUUACUUUCAUUGACUUCCCAUAACGAUUUUCUUACAAGGCAGACUGGUUCUCUGGCAGUUAAACUCCAGAGCUAAUUCUCACAAGCUAAGGCUGGUGCCACCCCACUGCCCUAAGCAGAGAGAGCAGUGAUUCCCAGACUUUCUGGAUCAGACAAGUCUCCUGGGGCAUCUGUGAAAAUCCAGAUACACAGGCACCCCCCAAGAGGAUUCAGAGGUUCAGUAGGUCCAGGGCCGUGGAAUUUGUAUUCCUAACCCAGGAUCCCAGGUGAUUCUUAUAAUUGAUUAGGGUAGUUGAGGACAGGCAGAUAGAACUGCAUGUUCCUGGUAAAGCAGACAUCCCAUGCAAAGGCCCUGGGGGCAUAAGAGAAAGUGGUGAGAUCAAGGAAUCCCAUUGAUGUCCUCUACAGCACUUGGAAUAAAAUCUUCAUGCCUUUUGCCAUGA